GAUGAAGAACUUAGCGAAAUGCGAUAAGUAAUGUGAAUUGCAGAAUUCAGUGAAUCAUCGAAUCUUUGAACGCACAUUGCGCCCCUUGGUAUUCCGGGGGGCAUGCCUGUUCGAGCGUCAUUUCAACCCUCAAGCUCUGCUUGGUAUUGGGCACCGUCCUUUGCGGGCGCGCCUCAAAGACCUCGGCGGUGGCGUCUUGCCUCAAGCGUAGUAGAAUACACCUCGCUUCGGAGCGUAAGGCGUCGCCCGCCGGACGAACCUUCUGAACUUUUCUCAAGGUUGACCUCGGAUCAGGUAGGGAUACCCGCUGAACUUAAGCAUAUCAUAAGCGGAGGA
rnacentral:misc_RNA from 1 species